AGAGUUACCUGACAGGGAGAUGCCAUGAUCACAAAGGUAGCUUUCCCAGGGGAGGCAUAUCCUUUGCCUCCAGAUGUUCUAACCCCUGUGACCUCCCAAAUUUCAGAGAUUUGAGUGAAUAAUUUGUGGGAGUGAGAGAUUGUGUUUGUACUUUUUUCUA
rnacentral:snRNA from 1 species